GCCAGGCACAGUGGCACAUGCCUGUAGUCCCAGCUACUCAGGAGGCUGAGGUGGGAGGAUCACUUGAGCCCAGGAGUUCUGGGCUAUAGUGUGCUAUGCCAAUCGGGUGUCCACACUGAGUUUGGCAUCAAUAUGGUGACCUCCUGGGAGCGGGGGACCACCAGGUUGCCUAAGGAGGGGUGAACCAGCCCAGGUCAGAAAUGGAGCAGGUCAAAACUCCCGUGCUGAUCAGUAGUGGGAUCAUGCCUGUGAAUAGCCACUGCACUCCAGCCUGGGCAACAUAGUGAGACCCCAUCUCUG
ensembl:misc_RNA Metazoa_SRP Metazoan signal recognition particle RNA